rnacentral:rRNA from 1 species
GGCUCACCCAGGCGACGAUGCGUAGCCGACCUGAGAGGGUGAUCCGCCACAUUGGAACUGAGACACGGUCCAGACCUCCUACGGGAGGCAGCAGUGGGGAAUAUUGCACGAUGGGGGAAACCCUGAUGCAGCAACGCCGCGUGAGUGAUGAAGGUCUUCGGAUUGUAAAGCUCUGUCUUUAGGGACGAUAAUGACGGUACCUAAGGAGGAAGCCACGGCUAACUACGUGCCAGCAGCCGCGGUAAUACGUAGGUGGCAAGCGUUAUCCGGAUUUACUGGGCGUAAAGGGAGCGUAGGCGGAUAUUUAAGUGGGAUGUGAAAUACCCGAGCUUAACUUGGGAGCUGCAUUCCAAACUGGAUAUCUAGAGUGCAGGAGAGGAGAAUGGAAUUCCUAGUGUAGCGGUGAAAUGCGUAGAGAUUAGGAAGAACACCAGUGGCGAAGGCGAUUCUCUGGACUGUAACUGACGCUGAGGCUCGAAAGCGUGGGGAGCAAAUAGGAUUAGAUACCCUGGUAGUCCACGCUGUAAACGAUGAAUACUAGGUGUAGGGGCCCCAAGCCUCUGUGCCGCCGCUAACGCAUUAAGUAUUCCGCCUGGGGAGUACGGUCGCAAGAUUAAAACUCAAAGGAAUUGACGGGGACCCGCACAAGCAGCGGAGCAUGUGGUUUAAUUCGAAGCAACGCGAAGAACCUUACCUAGACUUGACAUGUCCUGAAUUACCAGUAAUGUGGGAAGUUCCUUCGGGAACAGGAACACAGGUGGUGCAUGGUUGUCGUCAGCUCGUGUCGUGAGAUGUUGGGUUAAGUCCCGCAACGAGCGCAACCCUUAUUGUUAGUUGGUACCAUUAAGUUGACCACUCUAGCGAGACUGCCCGGGUUAACCGGGAGGAAGGUGGGGAUGACGUCAAAUCAUCAUGCCCCUUAUGUCUAGGGCUACACACGUGCUACAAUGGCAAGUACAAAGAGAAGCAAUACUGUGAAGUGGAGCAAAACUCAAAAACUUGUCUCAGUUCGGAUUGUAGGCUGAAACUCGCCUACAUGAAGCUGGAGAGGCUAGUAAUCGCGAAUCAGAAUGUCGCG